ensembl:lncRNA
AUAUAGUACUAUGAAAUGUUUCUGACCCAAAAUAUUACGAAAUAUGAUUGUUUACAUUAAAAUGCAAAAGUUGAUGAAAAAGUAUGAUAAGGUGAAAAAAGUGACAUUUUAUGUCUAGAAAGUGACUUUUCAUCAAAAGUACAAUUACAAAACUAGUUCCCAUUCAUCCUGUGUCUCCUUACACACUUGUGCUCUUUAUCCGCUCAAAACGCUAUACAGCGAACGAGAAGGCGCUAGGAGCAAAGGAAAGUGGUUUUUCUAACAAACUCAUAUAAUCAAGUGCACAACCUACUCCAAUUUGAUUUUUUUCACAUAGUUAGACAUAAUAUAGUACUAUGAAAUGUUUCUGACCCAAAAUAUUACGAAAUAUGAUUGUUUACAUUAAAAUGCAAAAGUUGAUGAAAAAGAAUGAUAAGGUGAAAAAAGUGACAUUUUAUGUCUAGAAAGUGACUUUUCAUCAAAAGUACAAUAACAAAACUAGUUCCCAUUCAUUCUGUGUCCCCUUACACACUUGUGCUCUUUAUCCGCUCAAAACGCUAUACAGCGAACGAGAAGGCGCUAGGAGCAAAGGAAAGUGGUUUUUCUAACAAACUCAUAUAAUCAAGUGCACAACGUACUCCAAUUUGAUUUUUUUCACAUAGUUAGACAUAAUAUAGUACUAAGAAAUGUUUCUGACCCAAAAUAUUACGAAAUAUGAUUGUUUACAUUAAAAUGCAAAAGUUGAUGAAAAAGUAUGAUAAGGUGAAAAAAGUGACAUUUUAUGUCUAGAAAGUGACUUUUCAUCAAAAGUUCAAUUACAAAACUAGUUCCCAUUCAUUCUGUGUCUCCUUACACACUUGUGCUCUUUAUCCGCUCAAAACGCUAUACAGCGAACGAGAAGGCGCUAGGAGCAAAGGAAAGUGGUUUUUCUAACAAACUCAUAUAAUCAAGUGCACAACGUACUCCAAUUUGAUUUUUUUCACAUAGUUAGACAUAAUAUAGUACUAUGAAAUGUUUCUGACCCAAAAUAUUACGAAAUAUGAUUGUUUACAUUAAAAUGCAAAAGUUGAUGAAAAAGUGAAAAAAGUGACAUUUUAUGUCUAGAAAGUGACUUUUCAUCAAAAGUACAAUAACAAAACUAGUUCCCAUUCAUUCUGUGUCCCCUUACACACUUGUGCUCUUUAUCCGCUCAAAACGCUAUACAGCGAACGAGAAGGCGCUAGGAGCAAAGGAAAGUGGUUUUUCUAACAAACUCAUAUAAUCAAGUGCACGACGUACUCCAAUUUGAUUUUUUUCACAUAGUUAGACAUAAUAUAGUACUAUGAAAUGUUUCUGACCCAAAAUAUUACGAAAUAUGAUUGUUUACAUUAAAAUGCAAAAGUUGAUGAAAAAGUGAAAAAAGUGACAUUUUAUGUCUAGAAAGUGACUUUUCAUCAAAAGUACAAUUACAAAACUAGUUCCCAUUCAUCCUGUGUCUCCUUACACACUUGUGCUCUUUAUCCGCUCAAAACGCUAUACAGCGAACGAGAAGGCGCUAGGAGCAAAGGAAAGUGGUUUUUCUAACAAACUCAUAUAAUCAAGUGCACAACGUACUCCAAUUUGAUUUUUUUCACAUAGUUAGACAUAAUAUAGUACUAUGAAAUGUUUCUGACCCAAAAUAUUACGAAAUAUGAUUGUUUACAUUAAAAUGCAAAAGUUGAUGAAAAAGUAUGAUAAGGUGAAAAAAGUGACAUUUUAUGUCUAGAAAGUGACUUUUCAUCAAAAGUUCAAUUACAAAACUAGUUCCCAUUCAUUCUGUGUCCCUUACACACUUGUGCUCUUUAUCCGCUCAAAACGCUAUACAGCGAACGAGAAGGCGCUAGGAGCAAAGGAAAGUGGUUUUUCUAACAAACUCAUAUAAUCAAGUGCACGACCUACUCCAAUUUGAUUUUUUUCACAUAGUUAGACAUAAUAUAGUACUAUGAAAUGUUUCUGACCCAAAAUAUUACGAAAUAUGAUUGUUUACAUUAAAAUGCAAAAGUUGAUGAAAAAGUAUGAUAAGGUGAAAAAAGUGACAUUUUAUGUCUAGAAAGUGACUUUUCAUCAAAAGUACAAUUACAAAACUAGUUCCCAUUCAUUCUGUGUCUCCUUACACACUUGUGCUCUUUAUCCGCUCAAAACGCUAUACAGCGAACGAGAAGGCGCUAGGAGCAAAGGAAAGUGGUUUUUCUAACAAACUCAUAUAAUCAAGUGCACGACGUACUCCAAUUUGAUUUUUUUCACAUAGUUAGACAUAAUAUAGUACUAUGAAAUGUUUCUGACCCAAAAUAUUACGAAAUAUGAUUGUUUACAUUAAAAUGCAAAAGUUGAUGAAAAAGUAUGAUAAG